rnacentral:rRNA from 1 species
GAUGAACGCUAGCGGCAGGCUUAACACAUGCAAGUCGAGGGGUAUAGGUUUUCGGACCUAGAGACCGGCGCACGGGUGCGUAACGCGUAUGCAAUCUACCUUUUACAGAGGGAUAGCCCAGAGAAAUUUGGAUUAAUACCUCAUAGCAUUAUGAAGUGGCAUCACUUUAUAAUUAAAGUCACAACGGUAAAAGAUGAGCAUGCGUCCCAUUAGCUAGUUGGUAAGGUAACGGCUUACCAAGGCAACGAUGGGUAGGGGUCCUGAGAGGGAGAUCCCCCCACACUGGUACUGAGACACGGACCAGACUCCUACGGGAGGCUG